UCGAUUAUUCUGUAAGGUCCUUCUCAAUUCAGAGAUAAUUUUUUCUGAUCCAAAGAUUUUGAAACUUCAACUUUCUUAGGAUCAGAUCUCCUAGAUGAAAGAUCUUCGGCUUAACUUUUACAUUAUAAUAUCGGGUUACUCUUUGUCGAUAUACUGCCAUCCGAACUUGAGCUUGCUGUCGGACUUCUAAAAGCAAGUCUAAAUCAGCUCUCCGAUAUUCUGAAUUGCUCGGCUCACUGUAUUGCUC
rnacentral:lncRNA from 1 species